UAGGGAAUCUUCCGCAAUGGGCGAAAGCCUGACGGAGCAACGCCGCGUGAGUGAUGAAGGUCUUCGGAUCGUAAAACUCUGUUAUUAGGGAAGAACAAAUGUGUAAGUAACUAUGCACGUCUUGACGGUACCUAAUCAGAAAGCCACGGCUAACUACGUGCCAGCAGCCGCGGUAAUACGUAGGUGGCAAGCGUUAUCCGGAAUUAUUGGGCGUAAAGCGCGCGUAGGCGGUUUUUUAAGUCUGAUGUGAAAGCCCACGGCUCAACCGUGGAGGGUCAUUGGAAACUGGAAAACUUGAGUGCAGAAGAGGAAAGUGGAAUUCCAUGUGUAGCGGUGAAAUGCGCAGAGAUAUGGAGGAACACAAGUGGCGAAGGCGACUUUCUGGUCUGAAACUGACGCUGAUGUGCGAAAGCGUGGGGAUCAAACAGG
rnacentral:rRNA from 1 species